AUGAGUCUUUCUUGUUGGAACUAUCGCGGUGCGGGCAAAUGUGCGAUAGUUCGAGAGCUUCAUGAGCUAACGAAGCAGUUUGCCCCCUCUGUAUUAUGCAUACUUGAAACUCAAAUAGAGGGUUCUAGGGUGGAAAAUAUGGUAGGAUCUCUAGGUUACAAUAUUUUUUUUGCUAUCAGCAAUUCCAGUAAAAGUGGGGGUUUGGGCAUUUUCUGGAAUGAUGAAAUAAAGCUUGAGGUUGUUGGUUUUUCGCAAUACCAUAUUGAUGUCAUAAUGGAUGAACUUGUUGAUGUUAGAACAAGGGUGACUUUUGUUUGUGGGAAAGCCCGGGUUAAUGAGAGAUACAAGACUUGGGACACGCGGGGGGGUAGGGGGAUUGUUGGAACCAACGACCUUCCCUGGCUAGUCCUGAUACAUCUCCAACGUAUCUAUAAUUUUUUAUUGUUCCAUGCUGUUAUAUUAUCAUCCUUAGAUGUUUUACAAUCAUUUUAUAGUCAUUUUAUAUCAUUUUUUGGUACUAACCUAUUGACAUAG
rnacentral:rRNA from 1 species